UAGGGAAUCUUCGGCAAUGGACGACAGUCUGACCGAGCAACGCCGCGUGAGUGAAGAAGGUUUUCGGAUCGUUAAACUCUGUUGUUCGAGAAGAACAAGGACGUUAGUAACUGAACGUCCCCUGACGGUAUCUAACCAGAAAGCCACGGCUAACUACGUGCCAGCAGCCGCGGUAAUACGUAGGUGGCAAGCGUUGUCCGGAUUUAUUGGGCGUAAAGCGAGCGCAGGCGGUUUCUUAAGUCUGAUGUGAAAGCCCCCGGCUCAACCGGGGAGGGUCAUUGGAAACUGGGAGACUUGAGUGCAGAAGAGGGGAGUGGAAUUCCAUGUGUAGCGGUGAAAUGCGUAGAUAUAUGGAGGAACACCAGUGGCGAAGGCGGCUCUCUGGUCUGUAACUGACGCUGAGGCUCGAAAGCGUGGGGAGCAAACAGG
rnacentral:rRNA from 1 species